rnacentral:lncRNA from 1 species
GAGUUUGCUGGGUCCGUCUCCAGUUCCUUUUGUCUCUUCCCACAUCCCCUCACUCAAGGUCUCUGGGAGCCUGGGCCUUCAGAGACAGCCCUCAGAUCACCUGAGUCGCCCAAGGAUGGAGACCUCCCCCCCAUUUUCCAGAACAAUAAGGUUAGAUGCAGAAAGGCCUGGCCAUUCCCAGCCACCACCCCCCGACUCCUCCCCAGGUGUGGGUGCUGAGAGGUGGAGCCACAGCCAGGCCUCUCCCCAUUGGGCGGGCUCCACAGGUAACCUGAAGCUGUGCUGCCAGGUGCAUAAAUAAAGUGUGGGGCUAUGGUACCACCUCCUUGAAAGGGGCCGAGUCCUUCCUCAGCCUCGCCUUGGAAAAACCAGCUUCUCUCCCUUUCAUUGUCUGUUCCCAGCUCCUGUGCUGCAAGCUCAUCUGAGCCCCCCACACUCCAAACUCUCUCUUUCCGGGUCCUUGAACUCCCCUCUCUGCCAAUCCACUUUCCUCUGCCUUCGUACUCUUCACCAUUAAGGGAGAGGGGCUGUCCGGGACCAGCCCCCACCGCCCCGCAGGACCCACUUCUGUUCUGCACGGGCCUGCUCAGCUGAACUCCCUCUACGGCAAGGGCUUCUUGUUUCUUACUCGCUGUCCUCCAAUCUUCGGAAGGCAAGAGCAGUCCAAGGCUUGGAAUUCCUUUCCUUCUCUCGCAUGCACGAGUCUCCAGCCACCUCUUUGUUCUGAAUUCUCUCAUGAAAGUUCUUUCGAAACAAGCUCAAAGAAGGCCCUGCCCUCUGACGGUACAGACCCUGAUACCUCCAGACACGGUCGUCGCUGGAGUGUCCGCCCUGGAGGUUAAGGACCCCAGAGGUGGGUGAGGCUCUCUGCACGUGCCCGUUGAGGAUUUGAAGAAUCUGGUGGACUGUACCCAUUGGGAGGAUCUAUGGCCUCCCAUCAUCUCCUGGCAUCGCUUAUCAGCGCCAAACAGGUUGGGGAAGGAUGUGGGGCCACUAGAAAGUGGCCACCCGAGGUGGAUCCCUAGGAGCAACACCAAGGAGGCUUACCCUCCUCUGCCUACCCGGGGCCCAAAGAGCACGCCUGCCUCCGGCCAGGUGUUCUUCCCCCCAGUUCACACCCGCACACGGGCCGGCCGCGCAAAGCGCUGCUCAGGCUCUUUGGAGGGUGCGGGCUGGAGAGGAACUGCUCCGCCCCGCCUUCCAGGGCCCUGGUUCGAAGGCGCGGGAGACGCAUUUUCCCAAAGCGGAAAUCUCAGAACACCUGCCUCCCCAGCACGGGGGGAAGACGCCCAGCAGCCCAGCUGGGUAAAGGCAGAGACGUUUCCAUGCGGAUGUGGGUGGGAUGGUCCCUCAAGGGUGAGAAACAGCAGAGGUCCCAGCCGGGCAGCGCCGGCCCACCCCGCGGCCCCGUCUGUGCCGCAGACACAGGGAGGUUCCGGCGAGCUGGCUCUGGGCAGCUCCGGAGGGAAGUGGUCUCCGCCAGAGGGUGUGAGGACUCGGAUCUUCCCCAUUCCCCGCGACCGUGACUCCGAUCGUGGAGGCUUUCGGCCAGGCAACCAACGACCUGGUGUACCGAGGCCAGGGUUGCCCCGUGGCCCAGACUCAGCACAAGACCUCGGAACAGUCCACGUGUUUCUCUUGUCCUUCAUUCCACCGGAGUCUGUCUCAUACCCAACCAGAUUUCAGUGGAGUGAAGCUCAGGAGGCGUGGAGCUGACACCGCAGCAGAAGCGGCGACAAGAAGAGCUCUGUGAUGCAUGCGGUCGCCGGCCGACUCCCGGGCCUUCGACGUCACCGCCCCUUUGGGUUACAAUGGAGACCUGAGCUCAACGACUGGCUCGGGUUCCCUCCCUACGUGGGUCCUCCAGGCAGGUGGCUGGAACUCUAUUCCCAAUCAGCAAGGAACCCUCUGCCCUGCCCCCCCCAGAGGACCCGCAGGACCUGCACAAGGGGGUUAAAAAACGACGAGGAUUUAAAAGAGCAUUUAUAUCGUAAUAAAAUAAAUGUAAAUAUGAUGGAUGUGAAGGCA